CACGGCACGGCCCGGCACGGCCGCCGCGGGGGGCUGCGGCUGAGGCGGGGUGCGGCGGCCGUUGCGGCACGCGGCCCCGCGAGACGGCUCCGGGGCGGCGGCGCUGCACGGGGAGCCGGAGCCCCCAAGCCGGGCCGGGCCGGGCCCGCGGCCCCCGGCGCCGAGCGUGGCCCCGCGCAGAACCGCGGAGAGGGGCAGCGCGCCAAGCGCCGGGCGGGCCCGGGCGUGCGGCCGCGGCUCGGUCUGGGUCUGGGUCUGGGGGCGGCGCGCUUUGCCGGCGGAGGCAGGGCGGGAGGGACCCUCCGGGCUCCCGGUGUCCUCGGGGAGACGCGGGCGCUGCGGCCCGGGCCGCCGGAGCGGCGGUGCCGCAUCCCCUCGCUCUGCCGACGGGCUCCAAAGCGGAACCUGAAGUAAUUAUCCUUUCUCUGCCAUUAACGUUUCCCGUAGCUACUGACAGUGCGUCGUAUUUUCCUUUCCGGUGCUGGGAUCAGUCGCCCAGCCUCCGCUAACAUCACGGACCUCCUGCGGUGUUUGGCCUUCGCCCGGGGACGCGGGACGCGGUUCGGGCAGGCCCGGCCCGGCCCGGGAAGGCGCUGGCGCUGCUGCUGGCGCUGGCGCGCGGCCCCGGCGUCCUCCCGAGCCGGAGGGGCGCGUGUGGGGGCGGCACGGCCGCGUGCCGAGUGCGCGGCAGGAAAGCUGCGCGUUGGAGCUCUCGACCCUUUAGCAAGUGGCGAUGGCAGAGCGACCAAUGGCUGGAAACGCCUGUGCGUGCGAUGAAGAUACUGCUUGGCAAAACGCGUUUCAGGGAGAAGAGGAGAGCAUCUGACUGCGCUGCCCUUGUCGGAUGGGUCUCUGAACAGUGUCGCAACCAGGACACUGGUGGUCUAUGGACAUAUUUCCUAUAAUUUCCGACCAUUCAAAUUGCCUUCUGCUGUAAAAUCUGAUCUGAAGAGGCAUGAGGACUUAAGGGUAAGAUUGUCCUGAAAGUUUCCACACGCCCACAAAAGGUGCAACAAAUAUCUGUGACUUGCAAAUUCACUUCAGUCUUUAAAACAGGGCAAGAGACCAAAACUCUGCAGGUAUCUAAUGUGGAGUGAAGAUCUCCCAUCCUUCCACCAAUUAAUAUCUUAAUAGAAGGAAGCAAAAGAAGAAACAGUAUUAGAAGGAUUAAAAUGUUAACAUCAGUGAUUACUUAGCUGCUGAGGUGGAGCAGUCAUUCAAUUUUAAAAGAUACAUUUUGGUUUAGAUGGAACCCAGAAGUUUGGUCUCAUUUCUGUAUAGGAGGGUGGCCCUUAUUUGAUGUCAGAAGCAUGCAGCUGUUUCUGUUUUGCAUUUGAAAGUGACAUAUCCUUUAAAGAAAUGUUGCUCCUGUUAAAAAGACACCAAUGUAAUUUGAGCUGAACAUUUCUAAGUUGCAGGAGUAGAGAGAUGAAUCUAGUUUUUAAUGGCAUGUCAUAAUCAGAAAGUUGCAUGGAGGUUAAGGGUCACAUUUCAUAUCCAGAGCCACUUCUACUCUCAAAUAUUUAUCUGAAAUUAGAAGCAUCAGGAAAGAAGGAAGGGGGAGGGAACUACAACCUGGAGCCCAUUAAAAUACUACAGAGAAAGAGGAACUCAUUAGGGAAUAGCUGAAAAUUUCUUUAACAAUUCAGAUUUUUGCCACUGGCAGGAUCAAGAGGAUGCCUACAAAUCUACUGGGUGAGUCUCAGCAAAACAGUGCCUCUAUCAUACUCUCAAAACUGUUUUUGAAAACACUAGGGACCCUUUGUGUUUUUUUUUUGUGAUUACAGUGAUGAAACUAUAGAACAACCUUUCUCUUAAAACAGCUUUUAGGCAGCUAGUGGUGCUUUGCAUUAGAUAAAUAUUCUCAGCAUUAUGCAUGUUUGCACUCAGUUACCUAUCUACACAGAGAACAGUACAUUCAUUUGCUUCUUGAUAAAGCAUGGAAAAGCCCAUCUUUUUUUCAAAAGGAUAGGAAAGUGAUUGUGAACAUUUAGAAAUAUGCUGCAACCAAUUUCAAAAUAUCACACAGGAAAAUAAUUAUUUAUCACAGUAAUGACACUUCUGAAACGUAUUUCCUCCUGUGUACUUGUACCAAUGUUAUGUGCUACUGAUUAUGCUGAGUCCCGGGAACAUCCAGGAGGGAGGUUCCUAGUAUAGCGUCACACAGCACUUCACAUCCGUGACAAGAGUAUAAAUGGGCCAUGUUGUCCUGUCUGUUGGGCUUCUCUUACCCCACCCCCUGCUGCACAAGGUCAGAAGAGACGGUGGGAAAGUAGUGUCACUAUGCAAAAACAGGACUUUAUCCGUUGGUGAAUGGCCUUCUGUCAGGUAACUUACGCACACCCCAGCUUUUGGUUAAUAUAAAAUCAACAGAAAUGUGCCAGGGAACUUUGAGCCAGGGCUGCAGAGCUGCUUAAAUCAGGUGCGAGAACCGGCUGCCAAGGGGAAACGUAGCUGUGACACGAGUCCAUGCACAGGACUCCAGGUAUCCUCGCCGUUUCUGACACCGAAACACUAAGGCAGCAAGUCUUGGAGCUACCUUGGUCUUGGCAGGGUACUCGGGAAUUUCAAAACUGGCUUAUUUGCUAUUGUACAACAUGCUCUAAUAUACUUUAACAUACUGAAUUACAUUAGAACAUACUGGAAUAUAAUGUACAGCCUAAUUCAUUUUGAUAGGUAUUAAAUUGAAACAGCAUCUCCCUUUACACUACUCCCAAAAAUUACAAAUGUCUAGCUGGCCUCCUACAUGCCUUACUUAUACUGAAAUAAAAAUGCCGAAUCUUCA